rnacentral:lncRNA from 1 species
AGACAGCAAAGUAUCCUCUGGUUAAAAACAUUCAGGAAAAACUGGGUUAAAUCAAAUUGCUCAGUUAAAUAAGCAGGAGCAUUGUCGUGGUGGAGAGGGACUCUCUGGUGAGGAUUUAUGUUAAGAACAAAAAAUGUGUAUUUUUAAUCACUCAUUUCCCAAGUAACAUACAUUUAGGAGCCUGUUGAUCUCUUCCUUUGUUUAGCCCUAGUGAGCCAAAAAUUUUACUUUAGAGAAGGCUGCUACAUGCUGGGCUAACUCAUUCUUUCAGUUCAAAUUUUACAUAAAAACUCUAAGGUUCUUUGUGAUUCUUUUCAGAGGACACAUCAAUAGAGUAAAUGGUUAUUCUGAAAUUGUUGCAAAGCUUCCAGGGAAGUGAUGUUUCAAUAUGGUGAAAUGCUUAAGUAAGGUAUAC